GACGAACGCUGGCGGCGUGCUUAACACAUGCAAGUCGAACGAUGAAGCCCAGCUUGCUGGGUGGAUUAGUGGCGAACGGGUGAGUAACACGUGAGUAACCUGCCCCUGACUCUGGGAUAAGCGUUGGAAACGACGUCUAAUACUGGAUAUGACUACUGGUCGCAUGGCCUGGUGGUGGAAAGAUUUUUUGGUUGGGGAUGGACUCGCGGCCUAUCAGCUUGUUGGUGAGGUAAUGGCUCACCAAGGCGACGACGGGUAGCCGGCCUGAGAGGGUGACCGGCCACACUGGGACUGAGACACGGCCCAGACUCCUACGGGAGGCAGCAGUGGGGAAUAUUGCACAAUGGGCGAAAGCCUGAUGCAGCAACGCCGCGUGAGGGAUGACGGCCUUCGGGUUGUAAACCUCUUUUAGUAGGGAAGAAGCGAAAGUGACGGUACCUGCAGAAAAAGCACCGGCUAACUACGUGCCAGCAGCCGCAGUAA
rnacentral:rRNA from 1 species